GGCGGUUAAGGGCGUCAGGAUUCGAAGGAAGCAGGACCCAGUCUUUCCUGGCAAGGGCUG
rnacentral:SRP_RNA from 1 species